UUUUUCCGGACCGGCUCUAUCAGGCUCGCCUCGUUUCGCUUCGUCCCUUUCCAGCUCGGAGCCUCUCGGCUCAGCUCGGCGCUGUCCGGCUCUGUUCGGCUCCCGCGGAGUUCGGCGCCCCGCCUGAGGUGCCUAUAUUGAGGUGCUGGAGCCUGAGGACCAGCACCGUGGUGUGUUGACGCUGCAGUGAGGAGGAACAAGACCUGGAGAAGUCUGGAAGAGAGACAAAUAUCCUUCGGAGGAGUCUAAGGAAGGGAGAGCUUGGGGCUGUGAUAGCCAACGGAAUUAUUGUGGGAGUUGUAAUAUCUGCUCUGCCCCCUUGAGACACUUCCAUUGGUGGUGGACUAAGCAGCCAGAUUUCAUAUUACAAAAGGUGACCAGUAGGAAUCUGUGACUGAUGAGCAGCCCAGUCAGUACUGAGAUACUGCAGCCGCUGGUUCCGCUGGCACUGUUAUCUGGCGUAAGCCUGUGCUGUAUGCUGAAAAGGUUAGUCCUGUACCUUCCAUCCUUGUUUUGAUGCUAAUGAUUGUACACAUAGAUGGUAAUUAAAGAACUAAUUGGGCUGAAAA